UUUUGUUAACUUCCAGGCUGAAGUGAGGAAAAAAGCGGGCUUUCAUUUUAGAGGGGAGGUAAACAUCAGCCAUUGCCCCUGAUUUCCAUGACAACUGCAAACUCUCAGUAUCUUCAGAUUUGAUUGCUGGUGUUUGCAUCUCUUGAGCUAACACCAAGCUAACUAGCUGCAAAAUUAUCAUGCAAAGGCAUGUGGUCCAUUAAAAACACAAGUCACAUAGAGUUGCAGGGUGAUGUCACAUCAGCUGCCCCUGAUGAUAACUAUCAAAAGUUAGCACAAGCCCCCAAAUCACAAAUGCCCUGGCUCUGAUCCCAUUUUAAUGAAUCUGCUUUUACGAUUAAACCAUCGCUAUAAUUGGCACUGGAAGAACAUUGGCAGUCACUGUGGUCGGCUUCCCUGCAAAGCAUGUUUGCGAUGCUCAUCUCCGAAUGAUGCAUAGUGUCUGCCUGCCUCCUAUUAAAAAAAAAAAAAAAAAAAAAUGGUAUGAACAGCGGCUGGCAGGCAGACUGGUCAGCAUUGAUUCAUUCCCUGGCAGACAUGACGAGCAGCAUGGGCUAAAUUCAGCCUUGGUGGAGGUGGGUAUUUUCCCAUUUCCUUUCGCAGCAUCGCAUCUACAUUACAUCAGGUAUCAAGGGAAAAUGGCUAGCAGUGAGUUCUGUAGCUUUUCCUGCUCUGCAGCCCCUCUGGCUUAGCCAGCUGGAUCACACUGAAUUAGGCAAGUACUUCAUUAUCUCCCUCCUCUGCACAUUUUGCUCCAGCCGUGAUGACCAGAGUACUGCAAAUGUUGCCAAGGCUUCACCCUGCUCAGCUCUCCCACCAUCCUGCCCCACAAGAAAAAAAAAAAAAAAGAAAAAAAUCAAGAAAGAUUUCCUUCGUAUGGAAUCCCUUGGUGAAUGCUAAAAAUAGAUCUGCAAUGAAAAGGCCAGUUGAAGUGGCCAAGAAGUGUGUUUCUUCAAAUAACAUUACAUUUCCUGCACAAGGCCUCCUUCUCCCACCUCCCACAGCCUGCGUAAAUAUGCAUAUCCUUAUCUGACUGCAAAUUAUAUCAUCACCUCCCAUCAAGAGGAGGGAAGGUGUCAAGAAGAUGCUCAGAGACUCCAGACUGGUCACAGAGCAACAUGAUCCCUCAUUGGCAUCAGUCAUUUCCCUCAGUGCUUGACAGUGUAAAAUUUGAGGGUUUCUAAUUGAGCACAUCCCUUCUGCGUCCACUCCAGUCUCUCAGCUCUUCCUUCUCCAGCCUCCCAGAAGGAAAUGUUAUUCUGAGCAUCACACCAACCCCACCAGCUCCUGGGAGCAGCCAGGUCAGCAUUCACAUGUGCUACACCACACAUCUCCAUACCGUCCUCACAUAAUUAUCUCGUGAAAGGUUUGCUGGACUUUCACCCACAGGAAAAAAUAAUAAGAAUAUGGUAAACUUCUUCUGUCUUCCCCUACCAGCCUGUCCUUACAGUAGCAAUUAAAUAUUUAUGUGUUUGAAAACACCUGAGUGAUAUUUGUUUAGUUUUGCACAGAUGUGAGAUUGAAUUGCAAGUUUAUUUAGCUGCCUCCCAUUCUUAAGCAGAAAAUAAAUUUUUAAAAAUGCUUUUUCAGCCCUGUUACACAGGCUGACAGGGACAAAAGGACAACUGCAUGUUCCCUGCAUCCCUGUUCACCCAGGGGCAUCUCAGAUAUGUCCCAGGCAUGCCGGUCUCCCUUGGAGAGCCCCAGGGCUGGCACAGCCCUCAGCUAAGGGACACUGCUUCAGGUAGCAACUCUCUGGGAGUGUCACACCAAGCAAAGGGGCUGGCUGGUAAUGUGGAGUUUUCACCACGCUUAAGGCUCUGUUUAUGCCAGAGUUCCAGCCACAUUAUGGUGAGUAGAGAGCAGAAGCAUCUCUUGCUGCAAAGGUGCCAAUGCAGGUCCCUCACCCACAACGUGGAGGUUUAACCCCCAAUGCCCAGGUCACAUUCCCAGAAGAGUCGUGCUGCUGAAGCAACUGCAACAGGGGCACAGGCAUAAAACAUGCAACAAGGCUCAAACAGGGCAGGCAUUGAGGUAUUUUUCACCUUGACACUCAGACCACAGCGUUAUCCCAUCUUGCAGCCCAUGCCACUGCUUGUGGCUAAAACAAGGAGUAGGACCUAGAAGCUCUGGGCACAGACUGCAAAUGGUUGUGAGAUGUGCUUAUCUGGAGGAGAUUACUUGUGAUAGAAAAAUAAUUGUGUUUCAUGCAUUCUGAUAGUCUAAAACAACCCAUCAGUACAGGGCAAGAUUUGUUUUGUAAUUUUAGCUCAGGCAUCCACAGAUUUUCAGUGCACAUUUUGCAUGGAAAAAAAAAAAAAAAACCUUGGUUCUUUCAUUGAUUUUACUUUUCUUUAUGCUGUCCUUACCAUGCAAAGUCCAAUUGUCUUGUAGAAAUAUGUAUGAUGAGAAUGGAGGUAGCAAAAGGGAAUAAACCCACAUAUGCCUCUCAAGCUGCUCCUAUAGUAGUUUCCAGUUUUAUAUAUAGACCUGCACAAAAGUGGUGAAACAAGGAGGCUAAACUAUUAAUUACUGAGUUCUGUGACAAAGGUUGUAGCCCUGCAGACAUGCAUUUGUGUAAUUGUAUGUGCAUGAGCAGGGCAUUCCACACUUUUCACACAUACAUAAACAUUCACAGAAGCCUGUUGUCAGGCCAUUUUUAGCAAAUAUCAAUGAAACAGCCACUUUCUCUGCAGGGUUGGGAAAUACAUGGCUCUGUUUUCACCACAGAUUUACUCAAUUUCAUAAUUUUAGAAUUAAACAUUUUGACAUGCUCAAAUUUUUCAAAAGAUAGUGAAUUUAAGUGGUACACAGCAUUUCAGAUUUUGUCCUGAAUCUGGGCUGCUUCCAGCAGCUCCAAACACAUCUCUAUUUCUUUUCUUUUAUUAAAAAAAAAAAAAAAAAAAAAAAAAAA